UGGGGAAUAUUGGACAAUGGGCGCAAGCCUGAUCCAGCCAUGCCGCGUGAGUGAUGAAGGCCUUAGGGUUGUAAAGCUCUUUCGCUAGGGAAGAUAAUGACGGUACCUAGAUAAGAAGCCCCGGCUAACUUCGUGCCAGCAGCCGCGGUAAUACGAAGGGGGCUAGCGUUGUUCGGAAUUACUGGGCGUAAAGCGCACGUAGGCGGACUUGUCAGUCAGGGGUGAAAUCCCGAGGCUUAACCUCGGAACUGCCUUUGAUACUGCAAGUCUUGAGGAUGAGAGAGGUGAGUGGAACUGCGAGUGUAGAGGUGAAAUUCGUAGAUAUUCGCAAGAACACCAGUGGCGAAGGCGGCUCACUGGCUCAUUUCUGACGCUGAGGUGCGAAAGCGUGGGGAGCAAACAGG
rnacentral:rRNA from 1 species